rnacentral:rRNA from 1 species
AAUGAACGCUGGCGGCGUGCCUAACACAUGCAAGUCGGAUGUGCCGCAAGGUGCAUGGCAGACGGGUGAGUAACGCGUGGGGAACCUACCUCUUCGUGGGGAAUAACGAUCCGAAAGGAUUGGUAAUACCGCAUGAGACCGACGGCUGGGAUGCUGUCGGUGAAAGCUGGGGACCGGAAACGGCCUGGCGCGAGGAGAGGGUCCUGCGUCUGAUUAGCUAGUUGGUGGGGUAACGCCUACCAAGGCAUCGAUCAGUAGCCGGCCUGAGAGGGUGAUCGGCCACACUGGAACUGAGACACGGUCCAGACUCCUACGGGAGGCAGCAGUGGGGAAUUUUGCGCAAUGGACGAAAGUCUGACGCAGCAACGCCGCGUGGGUGAUGAAGGUCUUCGGAUUGUAAAACCCUGUCGUCGGGGACGAAGGUAGGAGGGUUAAUAGCCUUUUGCUUGACGGUACCCGGAGAGGAAGCCCCGGCUAACUCUGUGCCAGCAGCCG